AUCCAGCUUACUAGUCCCAUAUAGGACGAAAUGCGCAUCCUGGAU
rnacentral:hammerhead_ribozyme from 1 species